GCCUGUUUUGGCUACCCUAUUUAAAAGAGGAAAAGUUGAAUUUCUUAAUUCCUUUUUCUUUAUUUAUUUUGUUUCUUCGGUUUUUAUUUGUGUCGCCGUUCACCUCUUCUCCCCCGACACCAAGCCUUGCGCCCGACGCCUUCGAGCCCUAACCGCCGGAGCACUAACCGCCGGCCGCGACGGUUUCUUCCUCGCCGCCACCCACUUCCUCUUCUUCUCUUCUCUCCCAAGUGCCGGCAACAUUUCCGCCCAGCCGUGCCCUAGAACGAGCGCCGGAGCCGAUCCUUAGCCGCGUCGCUGCCACUCCUUCCCAAUGCCUUCCUCUCCUCUGCCCGACGCCGACGACGCCAGGGAGUAGAGAGUCGACGAUUGAGUGUCUUCUCUUCCCCCUGUGCUCGCAUACCGCCGACCGGCCCAUGCCCUAGCUUCACUGCCCGACGCUUACUUCGAUCGCCGAUGCCCUAGCCGAGCCCUGCUGAAGCUGUGCCCUUGCUCUGCCGCCGGCCACAGAAUAGGGUUUUUAAUCUGCUGCGGCUAAAUUGGUUUUCUGAUCAGUUGAGCGUCAACAGGAGCUUGGGAUUUAGUAACUUUGUGAUCCCCAGCAGCGGUUCUGAUCUUGUUUCGGCAGCCAACAUCUUUGAUUUUUGGAUCAACAGUGAUACAUACGAAUUGAGGACUUUGAUUCGAGACGGUGUCUCGACGAGGGAUCUAUUCCAGAUUGGAC